rnacentral:rRNA from 1 species
GGCUAAUACCGCAUGAUGCCUUAGGGCCAAAGAGGGGGACCUUCGGGCCUCUCGCGUCAGGAUAUGCCUAGGUGGGAUUAGCUAGUUGGUGAGGUAAGGGCUCACCAAGGCGACGAUCCCUAGCUGGUCUGAGAGGAUGAUCAGCCACACUGGAACUGAGACACGGUCCAGACUCCUACGGGAGGCAGCAGUGGGGAAUAUUGCACAAUGGGCGCAAGCCUGAUGCAGCCAUGCCGCGUGUGUGAAGAAGGCCUUCGGGUUGUAAAGCACUUUCAGUCGUGAGGAAGGUGGUGUAGUUAAUAGCUGUAUCAUUUGACGUUAGCGACAGAAGAAGCACCGGCUAACUCCGUGCCAGCACGCGCGGUAAUA